AGGACGAACGCUGGCGGCGUGCUUAACACAUGCAAGUCGAGCGGAAAGGCCCUUCGGGGUACUCGAGCGGCGAACGGGUGAGUAACACGUGAGUAAUCUGCCCCUAGCUCUGGGAUAGCUCCGGGAAACCGGGAUUAAUACCAGAUACGACCACUUUAGACAUCUGCUGUGGUGGAAAGAAUUUCGGCUAGGGAUGAGCUCGCGGCCUAUCAGCUUGUUGGUGAGGUAACGACUCACCAAGGCGACGACGGGUAGCCGGCCUGAGAGGGCGACCGGCCACACUGGGACUGAGACACGGCCCAGACUCCUACGGGAGGCAGCAGUGGGGAAUAUUGCGCAAUGGGCGAAAGCCUGACGCAGCGACGCCGCGUGGGGGAUGAAUGCCUUCGGGUUGUAAACCCCUUUCAGCAGGGACGAAGCGAAAGUGACGGUACCUGCAGAAGAAGCGCCGGCUAACUACGUGCCAGCAGCCGCGGUAA
rnacentral:rRNA from 1 species